rnacentral:RNase_P_RNA from 1 species
UUUGGCAAACGCUGUAUUCUAGUAAUAUAGAGGAAAGUCCAUGCUCGCACUAUCCUGAAAUGGUAGUAGUGUUCAUGCAUAGGGAAAAAAUAACCUAUGGUAGUUUAUACUAACGGCGCUGAUUAAUCUAAACUUUAAAGCAUGAUUAUAAGCAUAAAGUGUCAAAGAGACGAGUUCUUGGGAAACUAAGAAAGUGGAACGUGAUAAACCCCAUGAGCGAGAAACCCAAAUUUGGUAGGGGAACCUAAUAGAUGGGAAAUGAACCGUCUAUGGGAUUACUUCGGUAAUAGAUAAAUGUUUGCCACCUAGAAAUAGGGACAGAACAUGGCUUAUAA